UCCCUGGUAGUAUAUCGGUUAGUACACGCGCCUGUCAUCAACCGCACAGAUGAUAACUUGCGCGCGAAAGCUGGGUUCGACUCCCAGCCAGGGAG